rnacentral:lncRNA from 1 species
GUUUCCUCGCAUACAUUACCAUCAAUGCCCGGCCUGUGAGUGUGUGUCGGGGAGGGGGGAGAGCGGCCGCGAAAGGCGGGCGGGCGCGCAGGCGGCGGCGGCGGCGGGCGGCGGGCAGCCCCGGCACCUGGGCCCGGCGCGCCCUCGGCGACUCUCAUCAGCUCCCAGUUACUGGCGCCGGCGCUCCCGGGCCAUCUCCCUCCGUCGACACCACGCUCACUCUCAGCCGGGGCAGCGGCGCCAACUACACGGCGGCACCGCGAACCGGGGGGAGGGGGGCAAGACGACGCGUCCGGCUCAGCCCCGCGGAGAGCGACUGCCUCCUCCGCCUUCUCCUCCUCCUGCUCCGCCGCCUCCUCCCCUCCUCCCCCCGCCGCCGCCGCUGCUGCCGCCGCCUGGUCCUUCUUCUCCUCCUCCUCCUCCCGCCGCCGCCGCCGCCGCUGGUGCCGCCGCUGCCGCUCCACCAACUACAUCCGGGCAACUCGGACGCUGCCGCCUUCGGGAAACCUCGGCAGUUUCCGCCGGGCCCCUCCUCUCCCACCCUCGGCCUUCCUCCCCGCACCGCGCGGGUCCGGAACACCGCCCUCGGCAAACCUCGGCUGGCUCCGGCCUUUCUCCUCCUCUGAGGCCUGGAUCUUCUCUUCGCGACCAGUCUGCCCUUUCCUUCUUUUCCUCACUCGCGAGUCGGCCACCGCCGUUCCCGUUUAGGGAUAGUCUCGCUCGGGCGCCUGCUCGAGGCUGAUCUCAGGGGCUCCGGGCUGCGCAGGGAGGGAGCCGCCUUCCGGAAGAGGACGGUGGGGCGCGAGGGAAGCCAUCGCGGACUAAAUAAGGGAGGCUGCAGCGGCUGCGCGUGCGCCCAGAGGCGCAGCGGGAGGGGGUGCUCUCGGGCGAGCUCUCCGGCCGCGGCCCCCGCCCCUGCGCUGUCGGGCGGGGAGGUCGGAAACCCCCUGGCGAGACCACGGGCGGACGCUUCCCGAAGAGCUGCCUGGGCUGCAGCCGCGGAAGCUGCGUUCUGGGGAGCGGGGAGCGUGCUCCGGCGCCUUCGGGCCGCUGCUGGAAGCCGGAACCGAGCCCGGGCCGCUGCCCCUCACCGGACGCCGCGCGCCACCGGCCCUCCGCGGGGCAGGGGCUGCUGCGAGCUCGCCGGGCGCCCUUUAGACGUAAGUCUCACCCUGCGCCCCGAGGCAGGAAGGAGCGCGUGCAGUCCCGGCCAGAAACGGCUAAUAGGAAGGGCUGAGGGGUUCUGUGUUCAAGGCAGAAGGCCGUGCGUCAGGGCGGCCCUCAGCGGAGAUGCGUGCACGGAGCGGGGAGCGCCGCUCGGGGCAGGGAAUGAAAGCGGCGCUUGAGACUGGAAAUUUAGGGAGAUGAGUUCCUUGGGAACAACGCUGAACCAUCUCACUGCCCCACCCUACCCCUUGUUAUUUUUUUUUGAGACAGGUCUCGCGCUGUCGUCCAGUCUGAGUGCAGUGACGCGAUCACGGCUCACUGCAGCCUCGACCUCCGGGGCUUACGGGUCAUCCCACCUCAGCCCUCUAAGUAGCUGGCACCACGGGCAUGCACCACCACACCCGGCUAAUUUUUUAAAAAAAGUUUUUCCGGAGAUAGGGUCUCGCUGUGUUACCCAGGCUGGUCUCGAACCCCUGGCCUGAAGCGAUCCUCCCGCCUCGGCCUCCCAAAGUGCUGGGAUUACAGGCGUGAGCCACUGCGCUCGGCUUUUCACCCCUUUCUAACGUUUUCCAUCCCUUUCUAACGUUUUCCAUACCCAGCGGUGCCCUGCCCACCCUCUCUUUAUCUCUCACUUUUCCCUCCUCUGUUUCUUCCUCGCUGAAGUCCAUUGGUGAAAGAAAAUUCAUGUGAAAGUUCUCAGAGUCGUCCUUGUCUACUCCACUACCAAAUGUUGAAGUUCUUCAAGAAUCAGUCCUUUGGAGGCAUUUAAGGAAAUCUGUUUCUCUUUUGGAUCACUAGCUGCAAAUUAAGCUAACAGAACAGGAGCUCAGCUGGUCACACACAGCAACGAAUACAGACUUUAUAAAGUUCAGAAAAGUUACCAAACAGUGGUAACCAUAACAAGUACCAACAAUGAACUAUGGGGAGGGAGGAGAAUCUGAUUUCCAGAGUUACCACAUUAUAAUACUAUUCAAAAUGUCACAUUUUUAGCAAAGAUUACAUGACAAGGAAAAACCAGAAAAGUAUGGCCCAUACACAGGUAAAAAAAGAAAUUAAUAGAAACUACCCCUGAAGAAGCACAGACUUCGGAUGUACAAAACAAAGACUUUUCAUCAACUCUUUUAGAUAUGCUAGAAGAGCUAAAGGAAACCAUGGACAGAGAACAAAAAAAUUAGGAAAGCAAUGUCUCAUCCAAUACAGAAUAUCAAUAAAGAGAUUGAAAUUGUAGAAAAGAACCAAAUAGAAAUUCUGGAGUUGAAAAGUAUUAUAACUAAAACUGAAAAUUCACUAGAGGUAUUCAGCAGCAGACUGGAGAAGUCAGAAGAAAGAAUCAACAGGCUUCAAGAUAGGUCAAUUAAGAUUAUACAGUCUGAGGAGCAGAAAGGAAAAAGAAUGAAGAAAAAUGAACAGAGCAUAAAAGACCUCUGGGACUCUAUCAAGCAUACCAGUAUAUGCAUGAGGGGAGUCCCAGAAGGAGAAGAAAGAGAGAAAGGGACAUAAUAUUUGAAGAAAUAAUGGUAGAAAAUGUCCCAGCUUUGAUGAAAUACAUGAAUCUAGAUAUUCAAGAGGCUCAAAGAACCCUAAAUAGGGUAAACUCAAAAAGACCCACACCGGAAUGCAAAAGUGAGCUGGGUGUGGUGGCACGUGCCUGUGGUCCCAGCUACUCGAGAGGCUAAGGCAGGAAAAUCGCUUGAACCCAGGAGGCAGAGAUUGCGGUGAGCCGGGAUUGCGCCAGUGCACUCCAGCUGGGCGACAGAGCGAGAUUCCAUCUCGAAAAAAAAAAAAAAAAAAAAAAAAAACUAUUGCUGCAGUCAUUCAGAUGGAAAUGGGGAAAGAAUAAUAUUAACUGAUUUCAAAAAGGACUUGAAGAUGUGAAUCAUCUAUUUUGCUGAAGAAAUCUUAACUCUUUGAAAUUACUUUUUGUUGCUGUUGUCAUACUCUUAGGUGCCAAACUGCGGUAAAUUUUUUAUCAGUGAAGUGGAAGCAUGUGUUUUGUUGUUUUGGGAAUUUUUAUCAAGUAUCUUCAGAGAAGAUUAUUUCCUGCUUUAUCUUCAAAAACUGGAAAGGAAGGGUCAAAGAAAAGACAGUAGCUGGCCGGUCAUGGUGGCUCAUGCCUGUAAUCCCAACACUUUGGGAGGCUGAGGUGGGCAGAUCACCUGAGGUUGGGAGUUCGAGGCCAGCCUGACCAACGUGGAGAAAUGCCAUCUCUACUAAAGAUGCAAGGAUUGGCCGGGCGUGGUGGUGCGUGCCUGUGAUCCCAGCUGCUCAGGAGGCUGAGGCAGGAGAAUCGCUUGGACCUGGGAGGUGGAGGUUGCGGUGAGCUGAGAUCACGCCAUUGCACUCCAGCCUGGGCAACAAGCGAAACUCUGUCUCAAAAAAAAAGAAAAGACAGUAGCUUAUGUUCAUGUCAAGCACCUCUCAUCACAGUCUAGUUCCAAGGAAAAAAUUCCCAGCGUUUUCUACAUUCGGUGCUGCGUCAUCUGAAAUCGGCACAUUCCAUGGAGGAAGGAGUCCUGCUUUGUUGCAUGUAUCCUAGGGUUUAAUGUUGGUAAAUGAGUCACUCUAGCAUUUGUAGAAGGCUCCCUGAGACUCCUGCAGCAGUCGACCAAGCCCAAGGACAUAAUUGAAUCUGGAGAGUCCUGGGGCCUUGUUUUGAAAAAGACUUGAAAUACACAUAGGAAGAAAGGCAUAAAAAUAAAUGUUCACUUGUCUCUGCUGUGAGUAUGUGUUCCAACUUUUCAGUGAUGGCUUUGAGAAUUCUCAAACUUGACUGGCUCUAAGUGUAUCUGGUGGCUUUUGUAUCGUAACCUGAAACUGGCUUAGUACUUUUUCCUAAAAGCUCAGGAUUUGAGAAUGAGGACCCCUUCGCCAGGAAAACAUGUAUACACUCAAAAUUUUGCUUGCAGUUCUAGGGUGUUUAGACCUUUCUCAGAUACCUGUGCAUCUUAUGGGUUUUGUUUUUCUCUUUGAGACAGUCUCACCCUGUUGCCCAGGCUGGAGUGCAGUGGCAUGGUCUCAGCUCAUUGCAGCCUCCGCCUCCUGGGUUCAGGUGGUUCUGCCUCAGCCCCUUGAUCGGCUGGGAUUGCAUGCAUGUGCCACCAUGCCCGGCUCAUUUUUGUAUUUUUAGUGGAGAUGGAGACAGAGUUUCACCAUGUUGGCCGGGCUGGUCUUGGGCUCCUGACCUCAGGUGAUCCGCAAGCCUGGGCCUCCCGGGGUGCUGGGAUUACACGCGUGGGCAACUGCGCCCAGCCCUUGUGUACCUUAUGUGAGGAAGUCCUGCUCAAUCAGGAUCGGUCACGCAGGCCCUGAUCUUGCUACUCUGGUUCCAUGUCCUAUGGAAGACCAAAGUUUACCAAGAUAGAUUUUUCCCUUCAUAGUGGCAGAUACUGUUAACCCCUGCACCAUCUAUAACUCAGAAAUCCCCACCAUUUCUUCCCCUGGGCUUCAGAAUAGAAUUGCCUGGUUUCUCUGAUGAUCAGCACACUUCCUUAAAACCCAAAUCAGCAAGGAAUGAACAAUUUUGUUUGGCAUGGAUGAAAUUAGCACUGUUUGGCUCGGUAGGCCCCAGACAGGCAGGCACCUUAAUUUUUUCCUUGCAUAUUCUAGUCUUCAGAAGCAUUGCCUUUUGUCCUACUGGUAGUGACAUAGAUCAAUAACAGGGCAUCUGGGGAUUUUAAUCCUGAAAACAGUGAGUCUGAUACUGCUUGUGUUUUUCAUCAGUGUCCACCCCGAGUGGGUCUUCCUGCUAUUCUCUUCACUUAGUUGCCCCUCACUUGCCAUCUGAGCAAUUGGCAAGGAUGUGCCAGGCCUAGGUUAAACUUGGAAACAUGCUUGACCAUUCUAUUCCCUGGUCCUUUAAGAUCAGUUUGGCUGCAAUUUUGGCUCCUUGGACCCUCAAGCAUAGCUGGUAAAUCAAGUUAGAGAUGUAACUGCCUUAAAACGUGCCAGCUUAGGCUGGGCGCGGUGGCUCACGCCUGUAGUCCCAGCACUUCGGGAGGCUGGGGCAGGCGGAUCACCUGAGGUCAGGAGUUCGGGACCGGCCUGACCAACGUGGAGAAAUUCUGUCCCUACUAAAAAUGCAAAAUUGGCCGGGUGUGGUGGUGCAUGCCUGUAAUCCCAGCUACUUGGGAGGCUGAGGCAAGAGAAUUGCUUGAACCCAGGGAGGCGGAGGUUGCAGUGAGCCGAGAUCACGCCAUUGCAUUCCAGCUUGGGCAACAAAAGCAAAACUCUGUCUCAAAAAAAAAAAAAAGUGCCAGCGUAUGAGGUAAUUAGAUUGGUUCUCUCCAGAGGUAACCUGCCAAGAAGAGAUGCUAUAGAUGUUACUCAUAUACUGUAAAACAUUGUGAAAUCAGAUUACUUUAAAAUGAUGUAUUACAAAGUUUUGCAAAAAAGCAGUUGUGACUGUGGAAGCCCAAGGCUUAUAUCCCAGCUCUGUCUUACACUAAAUAUGGGUAGAGUGUUUCCACUCUGUCCAUAAAAUGGGAGCUAAUAUUCUCCAACCUGUGUGCCUGACAUGAUGGUUAAAAGGAUUAAACAAAACAAUAGUUUGUAAUUUAUUCUGUCAGAGCACACUGCUGGUAAAUAAAAGGGAGUAAGUUGACUAAAACUAAAUUUAAAAAAAAAUCCUAAUAAAACAAGUUUGUAAUUUAUAAUUGUAUACAAAUAAAAGAUGUUACAAAAAAAAAAAAGACCCACACCAAGACACAUCAUAAUUAAACCGUCAAAAGUCAAUGACAAUCCUGCAAGCAGCAAGAGAGAAGCAAUUCCUCACGUACAAAGGAUUCUCAAUAAGAUUAAUAGCUGACUUCUCAUUAGAAACCACAGAGGCCAGGAGGCAGAGGCAGUGGGAUGAUAUAUUCGAAGUGCUGAAAGAAAAAACUGUCAAGAAUUCUGUGUCCAGCAAAACUAUCCUUCAAAAAAAAAAAAAAAAAGUGAAGGAGAAAUUAAGACAUUCACAGAUAAGCAAAAACAGAAAGAGUAUCUCACUAGUAGUCCUGCCUUACAAGAAAUACUAAAAGGAUCCUUCAGCCUGAAAUGAAAAGACACUAGACAGUGAUUCAGAUCCACAUGAGGAAAUAAAAAACACUGAAAAAGAUUUAAAUACAUAGGUAGAUAUAAAUGAAAGCAAUAAUUAUAUCUGUGUCAAAGCACAAUGUAUAAAGGUGAUUCAUGAUGAGGAAAAGAUGAAGUAUAGGAGCAAAAAUUUUGUGUACUAUUGAAACUAAGUUGGUAUUUAUUUGAAAUAGAUUGUUAUAAAUGAAAGUUAAUUGUAAUCCCUAGAGCAACUACUAAGAAAAUAACUAAAAAUUUUGGAAAGGGAAUAAAAAUGGUAUGCUAGAAAAUAUCUAAUACAAAAAAGGCAUAAGGGAGGAAUUGAGGAAGACAUAGGGAAAACAAAUAGCAAGGGGCAAUGUCCUUCCUACUAAUUACAUUAAAUGUGAAUGCCUUAAAUUCCAUUUAACAGAUGGAGAGAUUGGCAGAAUGGAGUCUUUUAAAUGUUCUAACUAUAUCCUGUUUACAGAAGACUGACUUUAGAACCAAAGACACAAACAUGUUGAAAGUGAAAGGGUGUCACCUUAGUUUUCUUUCUUUUUUUUUUUUUUUGAGAUGGAGUUUCACUCUUUUUGCCCAGGCUGGAAUGCAAUGGCGUGCUUGGCUCACCACAACCUCCGCCUCCUGGGUCCAAGCAAUUCUCCUGCCUCAGCCUCCUGAGUAGCUGGGAUUACAGGCAUGCGCCACCACGCCCAGCUAAUUUUGUAUUUUUUAGUAGAGAUGGGGUUUCUCCAUGUUGGCCAGGCUGGUCUUGAACUCCCAACCUCAGGUGAUCUGCCCGCCUCGGCCUCCCAAAGUGCUGGGGUUACAGGCUGAGCCACCGCGCCCGGCCAGCACCUUAGUUUUCUUGUGCUGCCGUAACAGAAUACCUGAGACUGGGUAAUUUAUAUAGAGCAGAAAUUUAUUUUCUCACAGUUUUGGAAUCUGAGAAACUCAAAAUUACGACAUUGGCAGGUUUGGUUGUCUGGUAAGAGCUGCUUUCUGCUUCCAAGAUGACACCUUAUUGCUGCAUCUUCUAUAGGGGAGGAAUGUUACAUCCUCAACGUGGCAGAAGGUAAAAGGGCAAAAAGGAAUGAAAUUCCUCAUCAGGCCCUAAGUUAAGGGCACCUAAUCUCAUUCAUGAGGGGAGGAGCCCUCAAGACUUAACCACCUCUUACUGGCUGGGCGCAGUGGCUCACGCCUGUAAUCCCAGCACUUUGGAAGGCCGAGGCGGGUGGAUCACAAGGUCAGGAGAUAGAGACCAUCCUGGUCCUAGUAGAGACACGGUGAAACGCGGUCUUUACUAAAAAUACAAAAACAAGAUUAGCCGGCCGUGCUGGCGGGCGCCUGUAGUCCCAGCUACUUGGGAGGCUGAGAUGGGAGAAUGGCGUGAACCUGGGAGGCGGAGCUUGCAGUAAGCCGAGAUUGCGCCACUGCACUCCAGCCUGGGCGACAGAGCAAGACUCCGCCUCAAAAAAAAAAAAAAAAAAAAGACUUAACCACCUCUUAAAAGUCCCACCUCUUAAUACCAUCAUGUUGGCCAUUAAGUUUAAAUAUCUGAAUUUUGGAGGGCACACAUUCAAACCAUAGCAAGUGGAAAAAGACAUUCCAAGAUAUCUCAGGUUCACAUGGAACAUUCUUCAGAAUAAAACAUGUUAGUCCACAAGUCUCAGUUUUAAAAGAUUGAAUUACAAAGUGCCUUCUCUGACUACAAUGGAAUAAAACUGAAAAUAACACACCCUUAAACAACCAAUGGAUCAAAGAAAGAUUAAAUCACAAGAGAAAUCAGAAAAUACUUUGAGAUGAAUAAAAACAAAAAUGCAGCACCCUAAAACGUUUGGAAUGCAGCAAAAGCAGUGCUCAAAGGCAAUUUUAUAGCUGCACAUGCCUACAUUAAAAAAUACCUAGAAUCAGCAACCUAACCUUCCACCUUCAGGAACUAGAAAAAGAAGAGGAAAUCAAACCCAAAGCUAGCAGAAGGAAGGAAAUAGUAAAGACUGGAGUAGAGAUAAAUGAAAUAUACAGUAGAAAAUAGAAUCCACAAAACCAAAAUUUGGUUGUUUGAAAUAAUAAUGUUCACAAACCCUUAAAAAGACUGAGCAAGACAAAAAGAUUCAGGUUACUAAAAUCAGGAAUAAAGUGGGGACAUUACUGCCAAUCUUACAGAAAUAAAAAGGAUUGUAAGGAAAUACUAUUAACAAUUAUAUGCUAACAAAUUAGAUAACCUAGAUAAAAUGGACAAAUUCCUAGCAGCACACAAACUACCAAAACUAACUCAAGAAAAAACUAAACCUAUAACAGUACUAGUUAAAAAAAAAAAAAGUAAACCAGUUAAAAACAAAAAACUUCCAAGAUAGGAAAGAUCAAACCAUGUGGCUUUACUGGUGACGUAAAGUAUUUUAAGAGUGCCAGUCCUUCUCAAACACUUAAAGUAGGGGAAGAGGGAAUAUCUUAACUCAUUAUAUGAUGCCGGCGUUACCCUGGUACCAAAUCCAGACAAAGACAUCACAAGAAAAUAAAACUACAGUCCAAUAGUUCUAAUGAAUAUAGAUGCAAAGAUCCUCAGCCAAAGUGAAUCCUGAAGCACAUUACAAGGAUAUCCACAAACAAAACUGUUAGAGCUAAUACCUCAAUAUCACAGGAUGCCCAGGAUCAACAUACAAAAAUUAGUUAUAUUUCUGUAUCCUUGCAAUGAACAUUUCAAAGUGAAAUGAAGAAAACUCAUUUACAGUAGUAUCAAAAAGAAUAAAAUACUAAUAAACAAGAUGUAAGACUUACACACUGAGAACUACAAAACAUAGUUGAGAGAAAUUUAAAAAGACCUAAAUAAAUAGGCAUUUUAUGUUCACGUAUUAGAAGACUUUGAAAAUGGCAAUACUCCCCCAAUUAACCAACAGAAUCAGUGAAAUUCCUAUGAAAAUUCCAACUGCCAUUAAUGUAGAAAUGGGCAGGUUGAUCCUAAAAUUCAUAAGAAAUUGCAAGGAUGUGGCCAGGCGCGGUGGUUCAACGUCUGUAAUUCCAGCACUUUGGGAGGCUGAGGCGGGCGGAUCACGAGGUCAGGAGAUAGAUACCAUUCUGGGUAACACGGUUAAACCCCGUCUCUACUAAAAAUAAAAAAAAAAAAAGUGUAGCCGGGCAGGUGGUGGGCGCCUGUAGUCCCAGCUACUGGGGAGGCUGAGGCAGAAGAAUGGCAUGAACCCAGGAGGCAGAGUUUGCAAUGAGCCGAGAUCGCGCCACUGCACUCCAGACUGGGUGAGAGAGCUAGACUCCAUCUCGAAAGAAAAAAGAAAAUGAAAAAAAGAAAUUGCAAGGAUGCCAAAACAGUCUUGGAAAAGAACAAAGUUAGAAGACCCACAUUUUGUGAUUUCAAAAUUUACCACGAAGCUACAGUAAUCAAAAGAGUGUGGUACUGACAUAAGGAUAGAUAUGUAGGCCAAGAAAACAGAAUUGAGAGCCCAGAAGUAAGCCUAUACAUCUGUGGUCAAUUGAUUUUUGACAAAGGUGUCAAGAUAGAUCACUGGGGAAUAGAAUAGUAUUUUUAAGAAAUGCUGAGGAUACUGGGUAUCCACAUGUAAUAGAAUGGAUUUGGACCCUUACCUUACACCACAUGCAAACAUUAAGUCAAAAUAAAUCAAAUACCUAAAUAUAAGAAUGAAACUAUACAACUAUUAAAAGAAAAUAUUGGGGUAAGUCUACAUGACCUGGGAUUUCCCAGUGGAUUCUUAGAUAUGAUACCAAGAACUCAAGUAGCAACAUGAAAAAUAGAUACAACUGGGCUUGAUCAAAAUUUAAAACUUUACAUAUCAAAUGACACUAUCAAGAAAGAGAAAAGAGAACCCACUGAGUGAGAGAAAAUAUUUGCAAGUCGUAUACCUGGUAAAGCUCAAAUAACUCUUACAAGUCAUCAGUUAAAAGACGACCCAAGUUAAAAAUGGGCAAAGGACUUGAAUAGACAUUUCUCCAAGGGAGAUAUUCUAAUGGCCAAGUACAUGAAGAGAUGCUUUGCAUCAUAACCUUCCACCUUAAGGGAAAUGCAAAUCAAAACCACGAUGAGAUACCACUUUCUAUACUCACUAGGGUGCUAUUAUUAAAAGACAAGUGUUGGCAAGGAUGUGGAGAAAUUGGAAAGCUCAUAAAUUGCUGGCGGAAAUAUAAAAUGGUGCGUUCAUUAUAAAAUAGUUUGAUGGUUUAUCAAAAUUUUAAACGGAAUUAACAUAUAACCCAGCAGCUCUCCUAAAUAUAUACUCAAGAGGAUAGAAAACUAAUCAAACAAAAACUUCUGCAUGAGUGUGUAUAGCAGCACUAUAAUAGCCAAUAAGUAGAAACAACCCAAAUGUUCAUCAAUAGAUGAAUGGACAAAUUGUGGUAUAUUCAUAUAAUGAAAAACUACUCAGCCAUAAAAAGAAAUUAGGUACUAGUAUAUGUUGCAACAUGGAUCAACCUUGAAAGACCUUGCUAACUGAAAGAAAAGGCCACAUCUUACAUGAUUGUAUUUAUGUGAAACAUCUAGAAGAGGCACAUCCAUAGAGACAGAAAACAUUGGUGGAUGCUAGGGGUUAGGGAAAUGUAGAAGUGGGGAGUUGCUGCUUAAUGGGUUUCUUUUUUGAGUGAUGAAAAUAUUCAGAUUUAGGUAGUGGUGAUACUUGCAAACAUUGUGAAUGUACUGGAAGGCACUGAAUUGUACAGUAAAAUGGUUAAAAUGGUGAGUUUUAUGUCAUGUGAAUUUUACCCCAAUAAUACCUCAAUAAUAAUUUUUUAAAAGUAGCCCCUCUCUUAGUCCAUUUUGUGCUGCUCUAACAGAAUACCCGAAACUUUAUAAAGAACAAACGUUGGCCGGGCACUGUGGCUCACGUCUGUAAUCCCAGCACUUUGGGAGGCCGAGGUGGGCAGAUCACGAGGUCAGGAAUUAAGACCAGCCUAGCCAACAUGGUGAAACCCCGUCUCUACUAAAAAUAACAAAAACUAGCUGGGCGUGGUAGCACAUGCCUGUAAUCCCAGCUACUUGGGAGGCUGAGGCAGGAGAAUUGCUUAAACCCGGGAGGUGGGGGUUGCAGUGAGCUGCGAUCACGCCAUUGCACUCCAGCCUGGGCAACAGAGCAAGAGAUUCUUGUCUAAAAAAAAAAAAAAGGAACUAUAUUGGCCCACAUUUCUGGCAGUUGAGAAGUCCUAGAUGAAGGGGCCACAUCUAGUGAGGGCCUUCUUACUGCAUCGUAACGGUGGAAGGCAUCACAUGAUGAGAGAGAGAGCAAGAAAAGGUGCUUUUGUUACAAGCCCAUUCCAUUAUAAUGAACCCACUCCCAUGAUAACAAGCUAUUCAUGAGGACAGAGCCAUCAUGACCUAUUCUCUAAUUAGGCCCUACCUCCCGACACUGUUGCAUUGAAGAUUAAUUUUCCAACACAAGAACUUUGGGGGACACAAUCCAUAGCAGUCCCUCUCUUCACUAAUUUCUUUCCAUGAAUUCUUCCACUCCCCUGACUUUUGUGUGUAGUUACCAUCUAUACACAGAUGCUUCACUAGAGGCAGUUUGUAUCUCCAACCCACAUCUUUUUUUUGAGUUCCAGAUGUGAAUAUCCUGCUGUUUACUUACCUACCACCUCCACACAUAGCUUCAAAUGCAACUUUGAAAUAUAAAACUGAGUUCAUUACCUUUUCUCCUAAAUUUGAUUAUCUGUGAAUGCUUUCUGUCUCACUAAAGAUAGCUUCCAGUCAUUGAGAGUUUGCUGUAUGUUUGGACUAAAGUGUUAAUCCAUUAAUUUACUUAAUCCUCACAAGAACCUCAGAUAAUACUAUUUUCCAUUUGCAGUGAGAAAGUUGAAAGGUAAAAUAACUUAUUGAAAUCACACACCUUUUAAGGAAAGGCUAGCCCUCAACAAAGGCAGCCUGACUUUUCAGAGCCUAUGUUCUUAAUGCCAUUGCUAUACCAUCCUCUAACUUUUUCUAGAGACCUAGAAGUCAUCUUUGUCACUUCUCUCCUUUACAUGCUUUAUCAAGUUGAUCAUGAGGUCCUAUUGAUUUGACUUCCUAAAUAACUCUCACUCCAUCCAGUUCAUUUCAUCUGCUACCACCAGCCUUAUUCAAGCAACCAUCUUUUGUCUAUACAAUGGCCUCUUAACUAACCUCCCAUAUUCACUGACAACAACCUAAUAAAAAUAUUUAUAAAUAUAAAUUUGUAUCUUACAGGUAGGGAAUUUAUAUUCUUCUCUUAUUAUGCCCAAGGAAUAUUUCCAAAUAUUAAUCAUAAGAUUGAUCACCUAGAAAACCUUAGUGAAUCAUGAAAAGUAGAAAUCUUAAGAGCUGCUUUUCAGAUGAUAGUGCAAUAAAACCUAAAGUCAACAAAGGUUGUUUUUGUUUCUUGAUGAUUUUAACUGUUGGUUUACUAUCAGUCUCUCCAACACUCCUGCCUUAAUUCUUGGUGAUUUUAAUAUGCACAUCAAUGAUCUUUCCAAUAUCUUGACCUCCAGCUUCUUGGACACCUCUUUUCAUUCCACUUCAGCCACUCCUUUGGUCAUUCCCUAGUUAGAUCUGCUUAUUACCAUUAACUGCAAACUCAAUUAUCUCAACUUCAUGCAUCCACCUUUCUGGCUGCCACAUCCUGUCUUUCCAGCUUUCCCCUCUAGAUCCCUAGCUCCUCAUAAUUAUUUAUCUUUGUUGGUAAUUCUAAUCUAUUGAUUCUAUCACUGUUUCACUGCCCCUCACCCUUAUUUUCCUCCUCACUUGGCUUAAAUUCCAUAGCCAGUCAUUGAUUGGAUAUUCCUUUUACCCACUGACAAAACCGUAACCCUAAUCAUUACUUAUCUACUCCAUUCUUGCUCCCAUGUAGCUGAACAUGACUGGAAGAAAAAUGCAAGAGUUUCACUUUAAAUUCUUGAAGACAAACCUCAUGUGACCUCAAAAUGCUGCCAGUCAAUCAAAUUAUAUUUUCUCCAAGUUUAUUCACUUGUAGUCAGCUUGGGCUGCUACAAUAAAAUAUCAUAAAGUAGGUAGCUUGUAAACAACAGAUUGUCUUCCUUCUGGUUCUGGAGGCUGGGAAAUUCAUGAUCAAGGCACCAGCAGAUUUAGUGUCUGUUGAAGUCCAGCUUUGUGGUUCAUGGAUGGUGACUUCUCACUGUGAGAAGAUAUGGUGGAAGGAAAGAGGGGUCCUUUCUUGAGCCUCUUUUAUAAGGACACUAAUCUCAAUCAUGAGGACCACCCCCCAUAACCUAAUCACCCUCCAAACGUGAUUAGGCCUUCCAAUACCAUCACCUUGUGGGUUAGGAUUUCAACAUACGAAUUUUGAAGGGACACAAACAUUCAGAGCAUAGCACCCCCUUUUCCUGAAAUGAUUUUAUGUAAUGAUUUUAUGUAAUUGUCUCUUCUCGAAUAUCCAACACUCUAUUCCCAGUCUUACCCUCGAUGAUAACUCUUGUUCCUAUUUCCUGGAGAAAAUCAGAGCAAUCAGAAGAGAUCCCCUGCCACUAAAUCUAUCCUUCUAGCAGCUUGUGAACUCAUAUAAUUUUCUUUCCAGCCUGUUACCAUACAUAUAUGCAUGAUGUCCAUGCUCUCAUCUAAAAUCAGCCUCUGCUUGUGUACUAGAUCAGGGUUGACAAAAUGCAGCCUGUGGCCCAAAUCCUGCAUUUUGUUUUGUUUUUGUACAGCCCGUAAGCCAAGAAUAGUUUUUACUUUUUUUUUUUUUUUUUUUUUUUUGAGACAGUCUUACUCUGUUACCCAGGCUGGAGUGCAGUGGCACAAUCUUGGCUCACUGCAACCUCCACCUCCCGGGUUCAAGCGAUUCUUCUGCCU